rnacentral:tRNA from 1 species
AGAGUAGUCUGGAAGCUCGCAAGGCUCAUAACCUUGAAAUCGCAGGUUCAAAUCCCGUCUCCGUUAUUAAUUAA